UAGGGAAUAUUGGGCAAUGGAGGCAACUCUGACCCAGCCAUGCCGCGUGCAGGAUGAAGGCGUUAUGCGUUGUAAACUGCUUUUAUAUAGGAAGAAAUAGACCUUGCGAGGUAAGUUGACGGUACUAUAUGAAUAAGCACCGGCUAACUCCGUG
rnacentral:rRNA from 1 species